UUGGCGAAGUCAUUGAUCCUAUGCUGCCUAGAAAAGCCCAGCAGCGAGUUGACAUGGUGCCCGUACCCCAAACCAACACAGGUGGACAGGUAGAGCAUACCAAGGCGAGUGGGAUAACUAUGGUUAAGGAACUCGGCAAAUUGCCUCCGUAACUUCGGGAGAAGGAGGACCCCAGUAGCGUGAUGAGACUUGCUCUCUGAGCGUGAAGGGGUGGCACAAAAUUGAGGGAAGCGACUGUUUACCAAAAACACAGCAGCGUGCUAAGCCGUAAGGCGCUGUAUACGCUGUGACUCCUGCCCGGUGCUGGAAGGUUACGGGGAUGGGUUAGUCCUUCGGGACGAAGCUCUGAACCUAAGCCCCAGUAAACGGCGGCCGUAACUAUAACGGUCCUAAGGUAGCGAAAUUCCUUGUCGGGUAAGUUCCGACCUGCACGAAUGGAGUAACGACUUCCCUACUGUCUCAACCAUAGACCCAGCGAAAUUGAAGUACGAGUAAAGAUGCUCGUUAGCUGCAGAAGGACGGAAAGACCCCGUGGACCUUUACUAUAACUUGAUGUUGUGUUUUGUCAUAUGUUGUGUAGGAUAGGUGGGAGACUUGGAAGCAUGAACGCUAGUCUGUGUGGAGUCAUCGUUGAAACACCACCCUGCAUAUGGUGAGGCUCUAACCUAGACCCGUUAUCCGGGUUGGGGACAGCGUCAGGCGGGUAGUUUAACUGGGGCGGUUGCCUCCUAAAGAGUAACGGAGGCGCCCAAAGGUUCCCUCAGCCUGGUUGGCAAUCAGGCGUUGAGUGCAAUGGCAAAAGGGAGCUUGACUGCGAGACCUACAAGUCGAGCAGGAGCGAAAGCUGGGCAUAGUGAUCCGGCGGUUGCGUGUGGAAGCGCCGUCGCUCAACGGAUAAAAGGUACCCCGGGGAUAACAGGCUAAUCUUGCCCAAGCGUCCAUAGCGACGGCAAGGUUUGGCACCUCGAUGUCGGCUCAUCGCAUCCUGGGGCUGAAGCAGGUCCCAAGGGUUGGGCUGUUCGCCCAUUAAAGCGGUACGCGAGCUGGGUUCAGAACAUCGUGAGACAGUUCGGUCCCUAUCCUCUGCAGCCGGAGGUGAAUUGAGGAAAGCUGUCCCUAGUACGAGAGGACCGGGACGGACGCAGCUCUCGUGUGCCAGUUGUCCUGCCAAGGGCAUGGCUGGUUAGCGACCUGCGGAAAGGAUAACCGCUGAAAGCAUCUAAGCGGGAAGCCUCUUCCAAGAUGAAUUCACCCACAGGGUUAACCUGGUAAGGCCCGUGGUAGACCACCACGUUGAUAGGCCGGAAGUGUAAGCGUGGC
rnacentral:rRNA from 1 species